UACGUAGGGUGCGAGCGUUGUCCGGAAUUAUUGGGCGUAAAGAGCUUGUAGGCGGUUUGUCGCGUCUGCCGUGAAAAUCCGAGGCUCAACCUCGGACUUGCGGUGGGUACGGGCAGACUAGAGUGAUGUAGGGGAGACUGGAAUUCCUGGUGUAGCGGUGAAAUGCGCAGAUAUCAGGAGGAACACCGGUGGCGAAGGCGGGUCUCUGGGCCGAUACUGACGCUGAGGAGCGAAAGCGUGGGGAGCGAACAGG
rnacentral:rRNA from 1 species